rnacentral:lncRNA from 1 species
AUUUAAUUUAAGGACUGGGGUAUAGCUCUGUGAUAGAGUACUUGCCUAGCAUGAGCGAGGUCUGGGUUCAAUUUCCAGCACCAGGGGGAAAAAAAAAAGGAAGAGGGAUAAAGUGGAUAGAGGCCUUGAAAGGUUAAGUACGAGCACAAGUACAGCACUGUGUUAAGUCAAAAUGAACUGGAUUCACAUGCUUACUCUCACAAAUUAGCUGUAUAGCACAGGGAAAGCUACAAAACCUUCCUAAGCCUAAAUUGUUGAGCUGCCAUAACGUGCAAUCUUAAAUGCUCCAAAAUCCAAAACUUUUUGAGUACUACAAAUGGAAAAUUCCAUACCUGAUCCCAUGUGAUAGGUCACAAUCAAAACACAGGUACACUAAAGAUAUAUAUAAUGAGCUAUGCCAAUCAUGGUGGUACAUGCCUGUAAUCUCAGCAAAUCAGGAAGCUGAGCUAGGAAGAUUGCAAGUUCAAGGACAGGUUGGGCAACUUAUGGAGAACCUGUCUCAAAAUCAAAAGAGCUGGGGAUGUAGCUUAGUGGUCCAGCACCCCUGGGUUCAAUCCCCAGUACAGGGGGCGGAAAAGAAAGAUAUUAGGUUUGGGAUGUAUGUAUAUAAAAUAAAAACAAAUUUAAUGUUUAGACUUGGUCCCAUUCCCAAGAUGUUUCAUUGCACACAUGAAAACAUUCCAAAAUCCAAUUAAAUCCAAAAUCCAGAAAUUCGGGUCCCAAGCAUUUUGGAUAAGGGAUGCUCAACCUACACUUGAUUAAAAGUUCCUUUAAAGUAGGAAUUCAUGUCCCUUUCUAUAUUCAAUGUAGUACUGAAGC